rnacentral:rRNA from 1 species
UACGUAGGCAGCAAGCGUUGUUCGGAAUUACUGGGCGUAAAGAGUGUGUAGGCGGUGCUCCAAGUCUGGUGUGAAAUCUCCCGGCUCAACUGGGAGGGUGCGCUAGAAACUGGAAUGCUAGAGGAUGGGAGAGGUAAGCGGAAUUCCUGGUGUAGCGGUGAAAUGCGCAGAUAUCGGGAAGAACACCCGUGGCGAAGGCGGCUCUCUGGGACGGUACUGACGCUGAGACGCGAAAGCGUGGGGAGCGAACAGG